UUUAUUUUUGUUUAUAUUUUUGUUAUUGGGUUAAAGUAUUAAAUAUUAAGUGAUAAUUUAAUGAAAUUUAAACCAGCCAAAUAUUUUAAGUCAAGGUGUUUGGUACCACCUUAACUGUUUUUUAAUACAUGAAUGUUAAUUGGUUUAAAAAUAACCUGUUAGAAAAGUGCAUUUGUUCACUAUCAAGUGAUAGAGUAAAAGUUCUUGUUUGAAGUUGAGGUUGAGUUUACUGUUAUCAGAUCAAUUUUAUUCAAUAUGAUGAAUUUUGAAUAACACUACAGGGAGAUAACUCUGUAAAAAUCAGCUGAACUUUUUAUUCACAUUCUAUUGUUAAGGGUAUUCUAAGCUUUUCAAUGAUUAAAAUUGGUGUUUUUUAACUGCUAUAUAUCCAAUAAUUUUUUCCAAUAAAGUGUGUGGUUCAAGUUUAAUUUUUUUUUUAUACUAUUGGCAAAAGGUAAAGUAAUUAUUUAGUAAAAAUUUUAUGAAAUUUAAACGAGUCAAAUUAAUUUAAAUCAAGCUGUUUGGUACCACCUUAACUGUUUUUAAUACAUGUAUGUUAGUUGUUUUAAAAUUAAUUUGUUAAAGAAGUGCAUUUGUUAACGAUCAAGUUAUUAAGUAAAAGUAGUUCGUGUUUGAAAUUGAGGUUACUGUUAUCAAUUUUAGUCAACAUCAUGAUGAAUUUUAAUUAAUUUAUUUUAAUUAAUGUUAUUUUUUAACAAUAUUUCCUAUUUGUUCAUGGUAAAGCUUGAAUUAAUAUAUUUUCUCACUUCCAAUCUUUGUGUCAUGAACUAAAACAAUUAUCAUGAUUGACAAUAAACUGUGUGAUGUGUGUAAUGCCAAACUUUGUUGAUAAAUCAUUUAAAUUGUAAAAGCUGUUAACGUUAUCUUGACGGUUGUAAUGUUUGUUUAUAGUGUGGAGUAAUUAUACCUCAUUAAUAACAGGACACUUUGAUGUGAUACUUCCAAAUACUAAGUUUCAUAGUUGAACCAUUAUCAACACGAUAUAAAUUGUUUAACACCACUGAUGUGCUAAAGUUAACCUGUUUUAUACGAGGACUUUGAAAUUAUGAUGAAUUCAAUGAAAGGAAAUCAGAAAGGGAACAUUUUAGUAACAAACUUGAGAGGAAUUGACUGAUUUACACUAAUGAAAUGGAAAGGUUGACCUUGUUUCACAAAGGAUAUAUGACAAGGUUAGCCUGAUUCACACAAGAAAUUGGAAAGACACGAAGAUAUUAAAGAUUCAUCCUACUUUGUACGGGCAUAUGGAAGACAUGCUUUUAUGUGAAUGUUCCAGCUUAAAAGAUAACCCAAGGACACCUUAAAGGAUUCAAUGACUGGCUUUAGCUAAUCAUGAUUGAUUAAUUGAAAAAGGAACUGAUGUUAUUUGACCUUGUCUCAGAUUGUGACCAAUGGAGAGACAGAAUAGCUGUGAUUUAUGAUGAUGGACAGAUGUCAGCAACUUUGACGUAUAAACAAGUUAUGAUUGUAGCUGGGAAGGCUUUAGAACAACCUCUCUUCCAAUACAAUGCUGAGAUUAUCCGUAGUGAUAUUUUACAAGAUCUCAACAUGGUAUUAGUAAAGUUAAACAGACCACAACAUCCUAGGUCAGAGAGGACAUCCUUAGCAUACUGCAUCACAACGUCUGGCACUACUGUACACCAAAGAUUGUCAAAGUA